AGCAGAAAGGAACCACAGGGAUGCCGCAGAAAUGACGGAUCACUUGUCAGUACGGCGCUGUCGGUGUGCGUAUGAUUGACAGGGAGACGUCAACGAAGAAAAUAGAACAGAGCUAAAGAAUAACAAUACGAACGUUGAUUGCGCUAAAGUUAAUUAGUGAAGUUAAUCAGUAAAAUGUUUGAUGACCUAAGCAAAUAAGCUCAAAUAAUGAUCUUAGUUAGGUCACAUGCAUAACUUGCCCUAAGAUAGUAUCUAUUGAAUUAAAUUCCUGUGCAAACCUGAAUUACCCCCUUAAAUUAGUUAAACGGAAUACGUAAUUGGCUGACUAGAAACAGAUCACAGAACGGUUUAUGACGUAGACUAGAUACAC